ensembl:lncRNA
CUUAAGUGUCAUCAUGCUUUCAUAACUAAUCUAGUAAACUGUUGCUUUUUUGCUGUUAAACCUCCCAAGUUUCUCCAUAGCACUUCUUUGUUCUUUACAAAGGCAUUCUGUUUCUGCCUAUAUCUAGUUUAAAACUAAUGUUAACUUAAAGGGAAGCAAGGAAAACUGCUCCUUGUUACCACAAAGCUUAUGUUGUAGUAGAGAGUUUUACCCUCUUCUUCACCCUCUUCUAUUCUUGGUCCAAGGUGGUGGAAUGAGCUAUUGGAAACAGAUUAAUCAUCUAAAGCAGUCUGGCUGAGCUGGUCCUGUGCGGUAUCGUUUUGAGCUGGUGGCUCCAUCCCCAGUAUCCCCUGAAACAGGAGGUGAGGCAAUACAAAAGAACUGAUUGAAUCAGGAUGGGAUACUAUCCUGUCAUCUGCAGCCACUGCUGAGCCUCAUGAGGGUCUGAAGGAGAACAAUGGAUUUUGUUGCUGCUGCAGCUCACCUGCUCCAAGAUGUGACUGUGCUUGAAAAUCUGAAAUACCAGAACAGCCUGUCUGGCACAAGCAUCCAUCCAUCCAUCCAUCUUCAUCCGCUUUGUCCGGGGCCGGGUCGCGGGGGCAGCAGCCUAAGCAAAGAGGCCCAGACCUCCCUCUCCCCAGCCACCUCCUCCAGCUUAUCCGGGGGAAUACCAAGGCGUUCCCAGGCCAGCCGAGAGAUAUAAUCUCUCCAGCGUGUCCUGGGUCUGCCCCGGGGCCUCCUCCCGGUGGGACAUGCCUGGAACACCUCACCCAGGAGGCGCCCAGGGGGCAUCCUUGUCAGAUGCCCGAACCACCUCAGCUGGCUCCUUUCGAUGUGGAGCAGCAGCUGCUCUACUCUGAGCCCCUCCCAGAUGGCCGAACUUCUCACCCUAUCUCUAAGGGAGAGGCCAGCCACCCUUCAGAGGAAGCUCAUUUCUGCCGCUUGUAUCCGCGAUCUCGUUCUUUCGGUCACUACCCACAGCUCGUGGCCAUAGGUGAGGGUAGGGACGUAGAUCGACCGGUAAAUUGAGAGCUUCGCUUUUACACUCAGCUCCCUCUUCACCACG